rnacentral:sRNA from 1 species
AGACAGGCCUCCUACUGGGGAGGAAGAGUAGGAAUUUGAGGAUGCUGCUUUGUCAAAUCUUUUUUCCUUCCCUGGGUUCUCGGCUCCCCCUUAUCGUUACCCUUUCCCCAAAGCUAUGGUAUCUCCCAUUCCAGAACCCCAAUUCCCCUCGAAGAUCCAAGUCUUUAAAACACAAAAAUGGGGAACUUAGCAAUUCGGAUCCUUUUAAGUAUAACAAUUCAACUGGGAUCAGCUAUGAGACCCUGGGGCCGGAGGAGCUUCGCAGCCUGCUAACCACGCAAUGUGGGGUGAUUUCUGA